UACAAAGGUGGCAAGCGUUGUUCGGAAUUACUGGGCGUAAAGGGCGCGUAGGCGGCCUUCUAAGUCGGACGUGAAAGCCCCAGGCUUAACCUGGGAACUGCGUCCGAUACUGGGAGGCUUGGAUUCGGGAGAGGGAUGUGGAAUUCCAGGUGUAGCGGUGAAAUGCGUAGAUAUCUGGAGGAACACCGGUGGCGAAGGCGGCAUCCUGGACCGAGAUCGACGCUGAGGCGCGAAAGCUAGGGGAGCAAACGGG
rnacentral:rRNA from 1 species